GCCGGUGUGUUGGAACUGGCAGACGAGACGGACUCAAAAUCCGUUGGUGGCAACACCGUGUGGGUUCAAGUCCCACCACCGGCACCA
rnacentral:tRNA from 1 species